CCAAUAUCAUGGCAGCAGAACGGGCGACGACGGCACCCUCAUCCCUACCUCAUCGGAUACGCCACUAUCGCCAUCAACCAAAAGCCAUAUACCACCGACCGGUGGCCUGUUACCCACCGCUCCGUCACGCACACACGCACUAACCCCUCCGCACAAGCAAGGGCACCUCAGUCAGAUCUGGUGCAACACCACCACCGCCGCCAUCGGCCGACUAGGAUGGAACUUCUCUGCUGCAGGCCGCCCCCCUCCCCUCGGAUCCAGACGCACCAUCAAAUUCGCCGUCAAGAUGAGAAGAACUUGCCUCGGGACAGUGCCGCUACCCUACUGCCUCGAUGCGCCCAACCCCCGAUCACCUCCACCAUGACCAUAAUUUCCAGAGGCAUGGACAACGCCGGUUCUCGGACGAAUUUCCCCCGCCCCUGCGAAAUUGCCUCUUUAAACAGUGGAGGUGCAUCGAUCCCAUCGUCUACAACGAGGGCUUGGUAUCUCCAGCAAUCUCUCUUUCAUUAUUGACCUCAAAAUCACAUGUGUAGUAUCAUAGUUACAUUUACUGACGCAUACCACUAUGAUUAUUUAGCUGUUGUUGCAUAUCCAUUAUCUUUCUCCUGAAGUUCAGUAGUUACUUAUCUAAGAUAGAAAGGAGAAGAUUCGAUGUCAUGCCACUCAGGUAUCAAUAGUGUACCUAUAUUUUUUGACUCUUUGAGUGUUGUGUAACUUAGCUAUUAUGUGAGAUCAAAGGGAAUUAACUCCAGCAAAUUGAUACAAAGAUAAUUUCUGAGGUUGUGUGUUUUAUUUUCUGUUAGUUGUUACAGGCAAUUGAUUUUCACGGUUUGGCGCUGCUGGUCACAGUCUAUGACAGAAACAUUGGAUUAGAAAAAGGUGUUAUCUAGAACAUGUGUCAUUGUUGCCAGUUGGAAUCACAAACUAUGCUAAUGUUGCCAAUUUUGUCUUCAUUCACAGAUUUAGUCCUUUACUAGAUUCAAUGGUUCUAAAUCUAAGUUUCAGGGAUUUAUAAAGAGCAACAUUCAGGUUCGCAUAUACAGGUCAUAUAGAUAGUGAUCUAUUCCAGUCCUUGGCCAUGGAGUUCAUUCUUGCAUAUGUAGUGUGCUCUUAAAAGCAAUAUUUGAUGAUAUGUCCGACAUCACCUAAUAUUUUUGUGAACACUUGCUAGAUUAUAUGGUACAUUUGAGUUUAUGCAUUAUCUUAUUUUCUUCUAAUUUUGUAUAUUACAACAUAGUUAUCGCAAUGGUUCUGGGCUGGGAGUCAUGAAGAUCGCUGCCCCUAAAUGCAGCCUCUAGAAAGGCCACCAUGGAAAAGAGGUAGAUCUUCCAGCAAGAGAACUUCAUCUCAGUUUGUCAGAUGACAUAAACAUCAAUGUGAUAAUGAACAAGUAACACGGUUGUGAGUAUAAUCGGAACAAAAAUAUAUAGCAGGGAUGACAUGGUCAAGCACGCAUGUGAGCAGCUGCAAACUACACGUCUACCUAAAAUUAGUUAUAUUAUGGCUUAAAUCAAGAAUAAGUGAUCAUUACAUGUAUCAAGUACAAGUGUUAUCCAAAUUAACUCUCAUUAGUACUAUUGAUGAUCCUAUACAUAUAUUUGCACAA